CGAGGCCCCAGGUCAGGCGGGAUUACC
rnacentral:rRNA from 1 species